AUCCUCUCAAAUUCGCACCUGGAGAGUUCCCACUGCUCUACCAGUCUCCGCUACUGGAGGGAGGGUCAAGCAGAUGCCUACCUACUCCAUUCCUAGCUUGGGCAGUGGCUAGGGAAUGGAAGGCAAUCUGCUACAAGU